UCACAACCACUUGUUUCCCUACGCCUUGUUCUUCAGAGCUCACACACAACAUUGAUUCAACCCAUUGCCCAAAAAAGACACUCAAACGAGAAAAAUGAACCAAAACAGAGAUGGGAUUUCCUCCUCUUUCUCAUGCUUGCCUGAAGGCUGCGUGUCCAAUAUCAUAUCUUUGAUGGCAUCUCCCAAAGAUGCAGGCAGAGCAUCUCUGGUUUCGUGGGAAUUCAAGUCUGCUUCGGAAUCUGACACCAUUUGGGAACAAUUCUUUCCUGCGGAUUAUAAGGAGAUCAUUUCAAGCUCCGCUAGUCCUCCCCUUAGCUGCGCUACCAAGAAAGAAUUGUUCUCUCAUCUUUGUCACUGCCCAAUUCUCAUUAAUGAUGGCACAAUGAGCUUUUGGCUGAGCAGAUCUACUGGAAAAAAAUGUUACAUGCUGUGUGCAAGGAAGCUUGCAAUUGUAUGGGCAGAUGUUCCUCGGUACUGGAAAUGGACACCCUUUCCUGAAUCAAGGUAUAUCUGUUUUCCAUCAGCAUUCUCGAUUAAUUUUACUUCAUUUUAUUAUUCUUUUUUUUUUGAAGGGGAUCAACAGUGGUUACCCGCUUUCCCCCUUGAUGACUUGAACCCGUGACCUAACACAGGUUUCCUCAGGUAGCUGAGCUGGUACAUGGUUUUUGGCUUGACAUUCAAGGCCAGAUGCCGACUCGUCUGCUGUCUCGGAGGACUACUUAUGCUGCCUACCUUGUGUAUAAAAUUACAGAAUGGCCAUAUGGGCUCACAAAAGCUGCAAAGGCCUCAAUUUCUUUUGGAGGAGGCAGCAGCACUAGUGGUGCUAGCUUUGUUGUUGAGCCAGAGAACAACUCUGUCUUCUUGGAACCACUCCCGUUCUGGCAUUAUUAUCCACCUGGGCAGGAUGAGAUUGUUGGUCGCUUUCCACGGCUGAGAAAAGAUGGAUGGCUGGAGAUUUCUCUGGGGGAGUUUUACAAUGAUGAAGGUGAUGGUGAUAUUGAGAUGCACCUUUGGGAACCUGAUGCUCUUGACUGGAAAAAUGGCCUCAUCAUUCAGGGGAUUGAGAUUCGUCCUUGGGUUGAUCUGUGAUACUCUGAUAUCAAAUGUUUGUCAAAAUUACAUAUGUUUAGCAUUUGAUUGGUUGCAUAGAAAAUUCAUAUGUAAUUCUGGCUUACUUAAGAUCAUAUCACAAGCAUUUAAGUUGAAUUCCAGGAAGUCGGGAAGGGAAAAGUGUACUCACUGCAGAUCAUGAUACAAAUUAUUAUGUAUUGUGAAUUAUGUAACACUUGUAUCUGAGAACCUCUCACCCUUUUAUCAAUGGUCUAUAAUCUCUUUUAUAGAUUAA